rnacentral:lncRNA from 1 species
CUGUUUUGCCCUCCAGAGGCUCCUCUCUUUCUGCUGGCUAUGAUCUGUCCAGGUUUCCCUCUUUUUCUUUUUGACGAAUUCUAUGUACCUAUCUCACAAAAUUAGAUCUUUCCCUCAGCUUUUGGAAAUUUUUUCUGUAAUUUAUUUUUAUUUAUUCCAUUAAUUUCCUAUUUCUGGUUCAGUGCAACGAAGACUAAAGUGCCUGCUAGGGGAAAGGCUUUAGUGCCCACAGAUCUUAGUAUUGCCGUUCCUGAAGGAACCUAUGCCCGUAUAGGUAUAUUCUUUUUUUUUUCCACUUCCUCAUGCCAAAAACACUUGAAUAGAAAAUGGAAAAGACGAUUGUUGCAAGUUCCAAAAGAAGAUUCUACUUUAGAUAUGCACCUUAAAGAGUUCACAAGUUUGCUAAAUGAAUAAAUAAAUAUAUUAGCCGGUAGAUAGUUAUUUUCAAGUUUUAAAAUAUUACACUGUGUAAGGAAUUUUUACACCAUAGGUCAUCUUUACUUAUUGUAGUAACUUGUUUUAUUUUCAAGAGUAUAAAUCCUACAAGGAGCUUACCUUUAAGUAUCUUUUUGGGUUAGGGUUGUAUUUAACAUUCUUGGAGCUAGAGUGAUGGAGCGGGUUUGACCGAAACCAAUAGCUUUGGUUUGAACCUUGUAUUUGUCUUAAAAAUUUAUUGAACAUAUGCAUAUUUUUAAUUUGGAACCCAGUAAAAAUCCCAAACCCAUAAGCUUUAAAUUCUUACUUCGCCUAUGUGUGAGAGCUAUAUGAUUUAGUUUGAUAAUCCAUAAGUUGUAUUAUUUUAAUCAGGGUAAUGUUCUCGGUUUUUAUUCUAGGCUGGAUAUUUUGCUAAAUUUUCUAGAAGAUUAGGGGCUUAUUAGUUUGUGAUUUUUUCUUUUAUAGCUCCAAGAUCAGGAUUGACAUGGAAGCAUUCAAUAGAUGUUGGGGCAGGUGUGAUUGAUGCAGACUAUAGGGGUCCAGUUGGGGUUAUUCUUUUCAACCAUUCUGAUGUUGAUUUUGAAGUGAAAAUUGGUGACAGAAUAGCUCAAUUGAUCAUAGAGAAAAUCAUAGUGCCGGAUGUCGAGGAGGUUGAUGAUCUGGACUCGACAGUUAGGGGCUCUGGAGGCUUUGGAUCAACAGGAGUUUGAAAUCUAUGGCUUGAAUUAGAACUUUUGAUGCGUAAAUUUUUGUUGCUUAGUACGUUUAGUCAUGAUAAUUUGGUCACGUUUUUAGAGAUUGGAACAUUUUGGAAACUGCAAGAUGAAGUAAGUUUUUAUGCUUCGGCAAUGUUGAGCACUGUGUUUUUAUUUGAUGAUUGUUUUAUUCAUGAUGCGAAUUCAUGUUUCUUGUAGCAAGUGUGUGACCUAGCAUUCAUUGAAGUGAUCAAAAUUCAAUACCUGUGUUAGUUAGAGAUAGUAGUUACCUCUGUUGUUUGAGAAUGAUUGAUAACCAUGUAAAUUCAACCUGAUGGUGAUGGCAAAGGUCCUAAUGCUGAAUGAUUCAUUCUUAUUUCUUUGGCAUCUCAGUAUAUAGAUGUAAUGCCAUUUGUCUGGCGGCUCAGGCAGAUUGCAGACAAGUGACAAAAUGCUAAGAUGGUUGGGGAUAAAGUAUACUUGUACUACUUGAAUAUUCAGUUUUAUCUGGAAAGUUGGGAG